AUUGAACGCUGGCGGCAGGCUUAACACAUGCAAGUCGAGCGAGCGGCGGACGGGUGAGUAAUGUAUGGGAACGUGCCCAGUAGCGGGGGACCACUACGCGAAAGCGUAGCUAAUACCGCAUACUAUCAGAUGGCCCCAGAUGGGAUUAGCUAGUAGGUGGGGUAAUGGCUCACCUAGGGGACGAUCCCUAGCUGGUCUGAGAGGAUGACCAGCCAACCUGGAACUGAGACACGGCCCAGACUCCUACGGGAGGCAGCAGUGGGGAAUAUUGCACAAUGGGCGCAAGCCUGAUGCAGCCAUGCCGCGUGUAUGAAGAAGGCCUUCGGGUUGUAAAGCACUUUCAGCGGGGAGGCGUUACUCGCAGAAGAAGCACCGGCUAACUCCGUGCCAGCCGCCGCGGUAAGAC
rnacentral:rRNA from 1 species